GGUUGUAGCUCAGUGGUAGAGCGCCUCGUUGCCAACGAGGAGGUCGUGAGUUCGACCCUCAUCAGC
rnacentral:tRNA from 1 species